GAGACAGCAGUAGCCGCGGGAAUACGUAGGGUGCAAGCGUUAAUCGGAAUUACUGGGCGUAAAGCGUGCGCAGGCGGUUAUAUAAGACAGAUGUGAAAUCCCCGGGCUCAACCUGGGAACUGCAUUUGUGACUGUAUAGCUAGAGUACGGCAGAGGGGGAUGGAAUUCCGCGUGUAGCAGUGAAAUGCGUAGAUAUGCGGAGGAACACCGAUGGCGAAGGCAAUCCCCUGGGCCUGUACUGACGCUCAUGCACGAAAGCGUGGGGAGCAAACAGGAUUAGAUACCCCGUAGUCCCUGUCUCUUAUACA
rnacentral:rRNA from 1 species